CAACUGACACCACCCACCGCUUUGACCUGAAUGCCAGAUGGCCAUUACAGGUGACACCAAGACGUGAAAGUAGCAGUAAGCACAAGACCAUGUGGCCUGGAGAAUGGAGCAAUGGUCUACUGUCCUGAGUAAUCCACCAAGGUCAGCAUGGUACCCAGGGUUCACUUUGAUGUAGGAGGUGCAACAGUGUGAGCAGGCAACACCCACUAUUGACAUGGUCAAUUGUAGUUAUUUUGGGGCUUUCUUUAUUGUAUCAGUUUGUUGGGUAAUAAAAAUCAAACUAAUGAAAUUUAUAUUUCUUCUCAUUCAUUUUAAGUAACAUCAAAGGGUGCUUUUAUGUAAUUCAUUAAGAUUCAGAGCAAAUAGGAAAAGCACUCAUGCAAAUAACAAUAUCCCUUACUUAUUGUGAGUGGUGUACUUUAAAUAAAGUGGUGAGUGUACUUCAGUGGUUCAACUACACAAUUGGGAUGGUGCCUCCAUCUCCCUCACACUUUUGGAUAAAAUUAGAAUAGAAUUUUAAUGACUAUUUUGACAGUCAUUUCACAUAGCAAAAUGUGAAUAUCGUCUUGAAUCAUUACACGUGGAUAUAAAUAAUAUGUCAAGUCUUAUUUGUAUUUAUUUAUAUGCAGAAUUUGCCAAAUACGGCUCAUGGGUAAUGAAUAUUGUGAAACAAUACAAUAUUGUAACCUCAUGGUUGUCACUCUCCAAUCAGAUGAUUAACACAAAACACCUGCAAAGGUUUGCGGAGCCUUCAAAAGGCCUCUCAGUCUGAAUCAGCACGCUAUGCUAUCAUGAGAAGGACUUAACACAUGUGGGCUGUUGUCAAGAGGAAGAUUCAUCAGGAAGAGGAAAGCCAUUCAUCACUGAUGUCAACCACCUCCUGAUCACCUCCAAAGACCUUGAAAAAAACAUGCUGUGGGUCUUUAGAGCCUUCAAGGUGCAGAUUCUCCCCGGUGACAGGAUAACAAAUUGCUCAAAGACCAAACUAAUCUGCAUCACUAACAAGAAAAGUUAAAAUAUCAUUAUUGGCCUGUCAUGGAGCCACAUUAACUUAAAUGUGUAAUCAUCUCUGGUGCUGCAGUUUUUGGAAGAAAAAGUUGUACUGGAAGCAAAAAUCCCUUAAAUCUCCCCGUCCACUUGGUCUGGCAAAAUAUGGAAAUUAAAAAUGUAAGAACAAAAAAUAGGGAGGAAAUAUUCAUUGUGUAAUUCGCAUGUGGAAUAAUAAUACAGGUUUGAAAGAAGGUUAACUUAACAUUAACCCAUAGAACAAAUAGUCAUGUGAAUAUAUCAAAAACUGGUUAGCGCUGACUUGAUCCAUGCAACUGUUUUGUUCUCUGGUGAAUAAUUCAUGACCGUCAGUGUUAUGAGUCCUGUGCUUAUCGGAAAGUUGAAUUUUUCCUCCACACAGCAGAUUUUACCACA